GUUGCAGAUAGUACUACUACGCGCGAUGCACGAGUUCGAAGUCGUGCUUGUCUCUAGAGUAGCGUUAAUCGCGUCCGGAUCCGGUGAGUAACCUGGGGCACCAAUUACGGCUGGGAUUACAGCCGAUGAAAUACGUGCAUACGCGGAGAAGCGAAUGUCUGCAUGUGCAUUCGUUAAAGAGCCCGCAUCAGUCGCUACAGGAUGGCGCGCGCAUUAGCCUAGUUGUGAGUACGCUCACCAGGCGACGAUGCGUACGACGACCGAGAGGUGAUCGCACACUGGAUGAGACACGCCAGAUCUCCGAUGCC
rnacentral:rRNA from 1 species